rnacentral:miRNA from 1 species
GCAUAUUCACACUGCCUCCCC